rnacentral:rRNA from 1 species
AUAAGCCAUGCAAGUUGAAUGGGAUACCUAAAUUUUCCAUAGCAAACUGCUCAGUAACACAUGAUCAACUUGCCCUAUGGAGAAAAAUAACCUCGGGAAACUGAGGAUAAUAUUUCAUAGUUGAAUAGGCUUGGAAAAGUUUUUCAAUGAAAAGGAAAAGAUAAAUGGUUCUUUUCUGCCAUAGGAUAGGAUCGUGGUCGAUUAUGGUAGUUGGUGAGGUAAUGGCUCACCAAGCCGAUAAUCGAUAGGGGCCGUGAGAGCGGGAGCCCCGAGAUGGGUACUGAGACACCGACCCAGACCUUACGAGGUGCAGCAGGCGCGAGACCUCCGCAAUACACGAAAGUGUGACGGGGUUACCCAAAGUGUUCAUUUUUGAACUGUGGUAGGUGAGUAAUGUCCCCUACUAGAAAGGAGAGGGCAAGGCUGGUGCCAGCCGCCGCGGUAAAACCAGCUCUUCAAGUGGUCGGGAUGAUUAUUGGGCUUAAAGUGUCCGUAGCCGGUUUAGUAAGUUCCUGGUANAAUCAGGUAGCUUAACUAUCUGUAUGCUAGGGAUACUACUAUACUAGAGGGCGGGAGAGGUCUGAGGUACUACAGGGGUAGGGGUGAAAUCUUAUAA